rnacentral:rRNA from 1 species
GGAGGAUGCAAGUGUUAUCCGGAAUCACUGGGCGUAAAGCGUCUGUAGGUGGUUAAAUAAGUCAACUGUUAAAUCUUGAGGCUCAACUUCAAAAUCGCAGUCGAAACUAUUAGACUAGAGUAUAGUAGGGGUAAAGAGAAUUUCCAGUGGAGCGGUGAAAUGCGUAGAGAUUGGAAAGAACACCAAUGGCGAAAGCACUUUACUGGGCUAUUACUGACACUGAGAGACGAAAGCUAGGGUAGCAAAUGGGAUUAGAUACCCCAGUAGUCCUAGCCGUAAACGAUGGAUACUAGAUGUUGAACAGAUCGACCUGUGCAGUAUCAAAGCUAACGCGUUAAGUAUCCCGCCUGGGAAGUAUGCUCGCAAGAGUG